AUUGAACGCUGGCGGCAGGCCUAACACAUGCAAGUCGAGCGGUAGAGAGGUGCUUGCACCUCUUGAGAGCGGCGGACGGGUGAGUAAUGCCUAGGAAUCUGCCUGGUAGUGGGGGAUAACGUUCGGAAACGGACGCUAAUACCGCAUACGUCCUACGGGAGAAAGCAGGGGACCUUCGGGCCUUGCGCUAUCAGAUGAGCCUAGGUCGGAUUAGCUAGUUGGUGAGGUAAUGGCUCACCAAGGCGACGAUCCGUAACUGGUCUGAGAGGAUGAUCAGUCACACUGGAACUGAGACACGGUCCAGACUCCUACGGGAGGCAGCAGUGGGGAAUAUUGGACAAUGGGCGAAAGCCUGAUCCAGCCAUGCCGCGUGUGUGAAGAAGGUCUUCGGAUUGUAAAGCACUUUAAGUUGGGAGGAAGGGUACUUACCUAAUACGUGAGUAUUUUGACGUUACCGACAGAAUAAGCACCGGCUAACUCUGUGCCAGCCGCCGCAGUAAAAC
rnacentral:rRNA from 1 species